rnacentral:rRNA from 1 species
AUGGGAGGGGAUUUCGCCCUCGAUCCCGCAUUCAGGGAUGUAAAUCAGGGGAAUAAAGGUCAGUUUAGUCCAUCAGUUUCUCUUGGUAUUAUUUCAGAUUUGAAGAAUACUGGAAACGGACAGCAGGGUAUGAGUAAUUGGGAUGAUAAUUUCGGUGAUUUGGAGGCGGAUUUUGGGGAGGACAAACUGUAUUUCAGGAGAGAGAUCAUAGGGAAUUUUCAGAAACCUACUCGUGUUGCUUCUUGCCCGCUCUCUGUUUCUGCCUGUGUGUUCCAGGAACCUAUGGGGACCAACGAGGGGAAAAUGGAGGUGAACGACAUUGGGGCGGGUCAGGAGACUCGCCUAGACUCGCCGUCUUCUGCUGCAGGUCUCCCUGCUGUGGGUGCCUCCGACCAUGCCUCCCAUGGGGUGACAGUCAUGCCUCCUACUGUCCCUGAUGUUCAGGGAGCGCGGACGGCUCCUGUGUUGGUCCAAGGGAGAGCUGUGGUGGGAGGGCCGUCUGGCUUGGUGCUCUCCGUCACGCCGUUGGUCUCCGUUGGCUUUGCGGCGGUGGCGGUGGAUCCUCCUCUACUUCAGAGGGCCGGCAAGAGCAAGAUGUUCGUGGGUUAA